CUUCCGUACCUUUACACCAGAGAGGUCCCUUCCCUCGGUUGCCUCCUAAAAGCUUCGUCUUCCGUGAAACACCGACCGUUUGUAAUCCACCCGGAAUUUAAUUUAAUCGACAGAAGAAUUUAACUGUUUCCAAAUCAAAGCUUCUCAUAAUGAAUACCUCUAACUUUC